UACAGAGGGGGCAAGCGUUGUUCGGAAUUACUGGGCGUAAAGGGUUUGUAGGUGGCUUGCUAAGUCAGACGUGAAAUCCCUCAGCUUAACUGGGGAACUGCGUCUGAUACUGGCGAGCUUGAGUGCAGGAGAGGAACGCGGAAUUCCAGGUGUAGCGGUGAAAUGCGUAGAUAUCUGGAGGAACACCGGUGGCGAAGGCGGCAUCCUGGACCAAUAUUGACGCUGAGGAGCGAAAGCCAGGGGAGCAAACGGG
rnacentral:rRNA from 1 species